GACGAACGCUGGCGGCGUGCUUAACACAUGCAAGUCGAACGGAAAGGCCCUGCUUUUGUGGGGUGCUCGAGUGGCGAACGGGUGAGUAACACGUGAGUAACCUGCCCUUGACUUUGGGAUAACUUCAGGAAACUGGGGCUAAUACCGGAUAGGAGCUCCUGCUGCAUGGUGGGGGUUGGAAAGUUUCGGCGGUUGGGGAUGGACUCGCGGCUUAUCAGCUUGUUGGUGGGGUAGUGGCUUACCAAGGCUUUGACGGGUAGCCGGCCUGAGAGGGUGACCGGCCACAUUGGGACUGAGAUACGGCCCAGACUCCUACGGGAGGCAGCAGUGGGGAAUAGUGCACAAUGGGCGGAAGCCUGAUGCAGCAACGCCGCGUGCGGGAUGACGGCCUUCGGGUUGUAAACCGCUUUCGCCUGUGACGAAGCGUGAGUGACGGUAAUGGAUAAAGAAGCACCGGCUAACUACGUG
rnacentral:rRNA from 1 species